UGUUUUCCUUGAUUAUAAUGAGACAUUGGCAGAACUAAGUAUUUGAUAUCUAUAAUCAUUUAAAAGAUGAAAAAAAUGGCAGAUAGGAGACAGGACUAACUUGCAGCUCCACCUGAGAUGGAUAGAACAGCACGUGGAGACUCAUAUUGUGAACUUUUGCUCUAAAAACUACCACAGGAACAUAUCAGAAAAACCAAAAGAAUACAAGAGACCCUUUGAAAGAAGCAGGUUGCUGCUACAAACUCCGUGAGACAGCCAAAAAACUGAGUGCCCAAAGUGUGAGAGGGGAAAGUCCACCUUCUAACACACACUCUCACUGGGGAACCUGUCAAUCCAGAUCACAGGAGAAAGAUCUAACCUUACCUAGAUCUGAAACAAAUGUAGAGAGCCAAGAGAAAUACAAAAGUAGAAGAAGCAGUGGGAAGAGCCCUUUAGGCACUGCCAGUCCUCAGGGAAGCCAUUUCUGAUUUUAUCUCACAGGGAUCCCUGGGGAGGGCUGCCAGUGGAAAUGGGGGAAGGAUCCCAGGGAGAAGGAAACUUCUAGCAGAUCUCUGUAAUAAUUAUGACCGAACACGAAUUUUCCUGGACACAAUUGGGUGGGUGGGGGCAAAAGGGAAAUGCAAAUAGGAGCACAGAAGCCAUGGCCAGUAGGUAGGGGUGGGGCCUGAAAGCCCUGCUUACUUUCUUAGCAGGAAAGCUUGUAGCCUGGGGCAAGAUCUCAGCCCUGCUCACAGGCUGCCUGGAUAUGCUGUUGAUGGGGCAUGAUGGGAGUGAGAUUGGCCUUGCUGGCUGCAUGGGAGUUGGGUGAUGCCUGUCACUGCUAGCUUUCCCCUACUUCCCUGGUGAUCUGUAUGAAACAGAAGAGGCAGCCAUAAUCUCCCUGAGAAUAUAACUCCAUUGGCCUGAGAACCACAGCCCCCAUACCCCAGGGCAGCUGCAGCAAGCCCUGCCCAAGGAGAGUCUGAGCUCACACCACCUAAACCUGCCCCUACAUGAUGGUCUUUCUCUACCAGCCCUGGUAUCCAAAGACAAAAGAUAUAAUCUCUUGGGACCUCUAUGGCCCCACCCAACACCUGAGAAACCGGAAUACUUAUUCAGGCAACCUUAGGGCAAGCUUGUAUCAGCUGAUGCUCUUUUUUUUUUUUUUUUUUUUUUUUCUGAGAUAGAGUUUCGCUCUUAUUCCUCAGGCUGGAGUGCAAUGGCACGAUCUUGGCUUACCG
rnacentral:lncRNA from 1 species